CCGAUCCCCGAUCACCGGCCACGAACGAUGCCGCCGAAGCUGGUGCGGCAGCUGGGCGAGAUGGAGGAGCUCGUGGAGGAGAUCCUCAUCCGCCUCCCGCCGGACGAUCCCGGGAACCUCCUCCGCGCCUCCCUCGCGUGCAAGCCGUGGCGCCGCCUCCUCGCCAGCUGCGGCUUCCGUCGCCGGUACCGCGACUUCCACCGAACGCCUCCAAUGCUCGGCUUUCUCCACAGCUGGCUGUGCACCGAGUUCGUCCCCACCACUGACUUCCGCCCGUGCGAGCCCGAUCUCCUGCACAGUCGUUACUCCAUGGAGGACUGCCGCCACGGCCGCGUCCUCCUCCAGUACUUCGAUAGGGAUGCGAACAUCCCGCUCUUAGUCAUCUGGGAGCCCGUGACGGGCAGCCAGACGGUGCUGCGCUGCCCCGAAAUGCCGGGGACGAGCAGCUCUGCGUCGGUGCUCUGUGCCGCGGACGGCUGCAGGCACGAUGACUGCCAUUUGGGUCCAUCCCUUGUGGUUUUCGUCAGCCUUGACGAGGAAGCGAGGGUCGCCACUGCCUCCGUGUACUCGUCGGAGACGGGUAACUGGAGCUCUCCGGUCACUCUGGAUGUUGGUUUUGUUGAGAUUGAAAUCAGCUUCACCACGAUGCCUAGUGUUCUCGUUGGAGACGUGCUCUAUUUCCCCAUUUCGAGGGACCAUAGUAAUGGUACUCUCAUGUAUGACUUGGCUGGGUGUUCUUUUAUAUAUUUUCGGUGCCCCAUCGCCCCUAUCCUCAUGGCAUCGGACGACGGUCGGCUUGGGCUCGCAGAGCUGUACAAUUUCGACCUCACCAUCUGGUGGAGGGAGGUGGAUCCUGAUGGACUUGCGUCAUGGACACGACGGAGCCGCAUCAACCUCGAGACUAUUCUCCCCGUUGGCGAUCCCGAGGUAACCACGGAGUUGGUUGGCUCCAUCGAGGGCACUGUCAUUGUUUUUGCAAUCACGGAUCUUGGCACCUAUAUGAUCGAUCUCAAGUCACUAAGCUUGAAGGAGCUCUCCAACGAGCUGUGUCAGCAAGAAGGUAUUACAUGGGCCCUCUAUCCCUACCUUAGCUUCUACAGU
rnacentral:rRNA from 1 species